CCUGUUAGGGUUGGAUUACAAGAUCAUAAAUACAAGUUGAAAAUUGGAUGACAAAUGCACUGUCAAGAAGACCUGCUUUUCUUGUUCUUUGCAGUCCAAGGGAGAUGAUGCCAUUUUUCUUAUCUGCAGGGAAGUCUAAUAAAAAAUAUGAAUAUGCAAAUGGUCUUGCUGUCCAAGCCUGAUUGAUUAUAAUUUUUCAGGUUCAGUAUCUGCUGCCAUGACUCCAGGGGAGUUUGUGGAAGCAACCCCACUAAUGGUUGAGGAUGUUGAGAAGGGAUACUCUAGUUUUCACCAAUAGCCUGUAAAUACAUUCUAGCUCCUCCUCAGCUUCUUGAAUGCUUGACCCCAAAGCCUCCAAUCCUUUAAGAAGGCUUUGAAGUUGUGAAAUACUGAUGUCUUUGCUUGACUUCAGGAUUCCAUGUAAACCUCAACUUCAGAUGUGAUGCCACGUUUUCUUCUACCGAGAGAGAAUUCAAGUUCUUGCACACAUUCCUUCAUCUGUGAGAAAAAGUCUCUUAUGGAAUCACACAAAUCCAGCAGAUCCAGAGAUCCACUCAAUGCAUCUUCUACACACUGGCUUUGACUUUCAUGGGAGAGAGUCUGUUGAGCCACAGGCAUUUGAAGCAAAUCAUCAGUGCACUCGAACAAAUUCUUUAGGCCAUUCAAUUUGCAGCUCAUUGUUGAGAACUGAGACGCCUUCAAUUUGCACAACUGCUCCUCAAUAGUAACAAUUAGAGGAUGAGAUCUGGAAGGUAAACUGAAUGAACGGAUAUGACAAGAAGCCAUUUUUUUCCGUAUGCAGAAGAUAGUUUGGAAACACUGAAUGUACAGGUGGUCUUGGUUGUGUUGAUCCCACUGAAUGAGCCUCUUAUAUAUAGAAGUGCAAUAGAACAUAAAGAAUUUGAUCUUCUACAUCUAUAUUGGUUGUCAUGUUCCAAGUGUCUCAUCAAUGUUGUGCUAUAUCAUAAAAAUUUAUGAUGAAUGCUUAAAAUAUAGUCACACAUAGGUGCAGUGCCUCCAAGGUUCCAACACAGAGAUCACCAUCAGGACAUAUAGCACUGAUCUUGAAGGCAUGCAUGCAAUAAUAAUGAUUAAAAUAUAGUCACAGAUGUUAAGAUAAAUAAUGAUUUAUUUAUCUGAUAAAAGUUGUUUCCUGCUAUGCUUGCAUGUGCAGAAGAUUGAUAAAGUAUUCACAUCCACGAGCAUGACUCAGCUACAUUCAUGAAACAGAAAAGAACAAGCAUAUAACAGUUCCUUUUUCUUUAGUUUGUGCACACCAAUUGACAAUGAGUGUUGAACUACUCUGGCUGGGAUGCCUGGUAUUGAGGAGCAACUAGAAUCUGGACAGGCUUGAUUUCAAUUAAAUUACUCACAGUCCAUGCGUUGUUUAUGGAAAUACAUAUGAAAUUAAUAAUGCAAUCAUACAUGUGCUCAUGACUAUCAGGUCUGACAAGAGUGAAGCAUGAUCCACUCAUAUGGCUGCAGAUCAUGUGUAGUUGAUAUCUUUAUUUGAAACCAACAAUGGGAGAAAUAUUUGUUAUCUUUGAAAUUGGACAAAAAGUACUUUGAGGUUUGGCAAGAUUUCUUAUUUUUGGAAGUGUGUCAAGUACUUUGAGGUUUCUGGAGUUCCAAGGGAGCAAAGGGUAGGGAUUGCAAGCUGAUUUUUAGUUAUACGCUAGAUUUGAAGAUCAAGGGCUAAAGGACAUUGCUGAAGAGCUUAUGAGGACGAGACAAGAAGGACAUUGUUCUGAGGAUCUCUGGAUCAGAAUGGAGAGGGUUUUUACCAGAGUUAGGUGAAGCCUACUUUUAUUUGGAUGUACUGACGGUUUCCAGGAUGAAAUCAGAUCCAUGGUAAGGAUGAUGAAACUAGGAACUUUAUACCAAGCCUUUGAAACAGCAAGAUUGCAAGAAAUUACAGGAAAUUCAGACAAGCAUUCAACACAUAUUCACUGUUUACAGACGUACGUCUACCAGUAGUGCCUCAUUACAGACCAGUAAGCCUUUUCCAAUGAACCAGUGUUUCCAUGGGCAUGUAAACACCCCCGCUUUAAUCAGAAGUCACCAACCAACUUCACCAGAUCAAACUCUCAAGUCUCAACUGCCAGUAUCACUAGCAUAAGCCAACAUGAGCUCGUCAGCAGCCAAUCAAUCUCUAGAAAUGUUAACAAACCAAGUCAAAUAUUUAAGAACAACUAAAGCCUUGUCUCAAGUGUGGAGAAAAGUACUUCCCAGUCCACCAUUGUAAACUCAAAACCAAGUUAGAUAUGCAAGUAUGUGAGCCAGAGGAAGUGGGGGAAGAAUGGCAUGAGGUUUCAGAUGCAAUGGAGGAACUGGCUAAUUUGAAGGUAAUGAUUCUCUUUAGUCCAUGCUGUUGAAGGCAGCCAGGUUGUAUGAUCAAUCAAGGUUCUAGGAACUCACAAAAACAGGCAACUGGUAUUUGGUAAUCCUAUUUGACAGUGAUAGUACCAAUAGCUUCAUGGAUAAGAGGUAGCUGAAGAGCUAAAAUUACCAUUAAUGCAAAUUUCAGCCACUGCAAUUGCAGUAGCAGAUGGCAGGAGGAUCAUUACCACCCACCUGUGUAAAGACUUUAGCUGGAACACAUCAGUUACAUUACAACCUCAAAGUGUUGCAUUAGCAAGAAAAUCAUUUUGAGAGUGGAUUGGAUGAGAAGCUUCAAUCCAAUUCUUUCAAGUCUCCGAUGUUACUUUCAACUGAGCUUUAAGCAGAAUUAAAAUUUGGGGAAUUUCUGAUUCUUUUAUAAUUUCAUAUCAUAAGAGCUGGUGAAGGUUACUGGAAAAUUUGGCGUAAAAAGGGGGUGGAUUUUCAAUCUCCUCUAUUCAUUAUGUUAUUCAGUCGCAGCAGGAACAGAGUAACAAUGUUGUUGGUCACAGCACAACAGGUAUCAAUCUGCAUCUUCGUUGGACAAAUAUCAUACCACUUUUGAAGAACCUAAAACAACUCCUUUUAGGAACCAUAACCAUUCCAUUCCAUUUCUGCCGUCUACUCUGCCUAUUAAUCAUAGACCAUAUAGGUAUCUUCACUCCCAAAAGAGAAAGACAGAAGAGUUGGUCAUAAAACGCUAGCUUCCUCUACUAUUCACCAAGCAAUAGCCCUUGCUUCCUUCUAUGUUUUGUAAGUCAAGAAAAAAGAUGGGAUAUGGUGAUUUUAUGAGGAUUAUAGGAAGUUAAAUGACCAUGCCGUAAAAGAUAAGUUCAUUAUAUUCUUAAGACUGCAUUUAGAACUCAUCAUGGCCACUUUGAGUUUAUUGUUAUGCUCUUUGGCCUCACUAAUGCUUUUUCUACUUUUCAAGAACUCAAGAAUCAUUUUCCAACAUCACCUUAGGAUUUUUUUUUUCUUGUGUUUUCAAUGAUAUUUUAAUUUACAGACUUGACCUCAAAUCUCAAAUGUAGCAUUUGGAGGUGUUUAAGAUUUUGCGAGCCCAACAACUCUAUACAAGGAGAUCUUAGUGUACUUUUGGUCAAAAGGAAAUUGAAUUUCUGGCAAAGGGAUGUCCACAGAUCCUAAGAAAUUGCAAGCAAUGGUUUCUUGCUUCACUCCAACUUUAGCAAACAAACUUAGAAGAUUUCUAGGCCUUACCAAUUACUAUAGACUGUUUUUUCAUCACUACUGGGUCAUUAGUAAGCCCUUUGCAAACUUAAUUAAGAAUGAGUCUUUCCAUUGGAAUGAGUCAUCUCAAUAGGCUCUCGAAUCCAUCUAAAAUUCCAUGGCUCAGGCUCUUGUUUAGGAAAUUCUUGAUUUUUCCAAACCCUUUAUAGUGGAAAUUGAGGCUAUUAAUUGAUGUAUAGGAGCAGUUCUUCAGCAAUAGGGCCAUGCAAAUGCAUAUAUCUCUAAAGCUUUUCGGUCUAAGGACAGAGGAUGUCCAUUUAUGAAAAGAGUUGAUAGGCAUAACAUUUGCAGCAACUUUGUCCUGUCCUUUACUGUCCCGGGGAGAUAAUGGAAUUCCAUUCUCUUCAUUUUAUGAAAAUUUAGAGUGCAAUAAGCAAAAUUAGAACAUAAUCAGCAAUAAAAGAGACUAGUCAAAAAUAGCCUUUCUUACGAGUCAUCAAUGACAAGGUUAAUAUUUAUUUAAUGGUUAUGAUUCUUUUGAGUUCAUGUGUUCAAUAGUUUACAACUUUAGUUCGAGUGUUAAAUGGAAUAAUCUCAAAUAGUAUGUAUUUGGCCAUUCUCCGUUUCUCCUUUCUAUUAAUUGCCUAAUCACAGCUGUGUUUUACUACCACUUUCCCAGAUACCCUGAAGUGCCAGAUUUCCACCAAGGAGGAGUGGUAUGAAGCAUUAUCUCAAUUUUUUUUUCUAGGUAAGACUUGAAACUGAUACAAAUGGAAACUCCUAGAAGCACCAUAUUGAUAGGCACGGGAUAAUAGAUAUUCAACAACUUGAGACAGAUGAAAGCAUUUGCAAUUAAAGAA